rnacentral:rRNA from 1 species
UACGGAGGAUGCAAGCGUUAUCCGGAAUGAUUGGGCGUAAAGGGUCCUGAGGUGGCUGGCUUAGUCUACUGUGAAAGAUCAGGGCUUAACCCUGAACAGGCGGUGGAAACUAGCAAGCUAGAGUACGGUAGGGGCGGAGGGAAUUCUCGGUGGAGCGGUGAAAUUCGUAGAUAUCGGGAGGAACACCGGUGGCGAAGGCGGCGACCUGGGUCGAGACUGACGCUGAGGCGCGAAAGCGUGGGGAGCAAACAGG